rnacentral:rRNA from 1 species
GACGAACGCUGGCGGCGUGCCUAAUACAUGCAAGUCGAGCGCAGGAAACUGACGGAACUCUUCGGAGGGAAGGCAGUGGAAUGAGCGGCGGACGGGUGAGUAACACGUAAGGAACCUGCCUCAAGGAUUGGGAUAACUCCGAGAAAUCGGAGCUAAUACCGGAUAGUUCAUCGGACCGCAUGGUCCGGUGAGGAAAGGCGCUUCGGCGUCACCUUGAGAUGGACUUGCGGUGCAUUAGCUAGUUGGUGGGGUAACGGCCCACCAAGGCGACGAUGCAUAGCCGACCUGAGAGGGUGAUCGGCCACACUGGGACUGAGACACGGCCCAGACUCCUACGGGAGGCAGCAGUAGGGAAUCUUCCACAAUGGACGAAAGUCUGAUGGAGCAACGCCGCGUGAGUGAUGAAGGUUUUCGGAUCGUAAAACUCUGUUGUAAGGGAAGAACACGUACGAGAGGAAAUGCUCGUACCUUGACGGUACCUUACGAGAAAGCCACGGCUAACUACGUGCCAGCCGCCGCGGUAAUAC